rnacentral:rRNA from 1 species
ACCAGACUCCUACGGGAGGCAGCAGUGGGGAAUAUUGCACAAUGGGGGAAACCCUGAUGCAGCAACGCCGCGUGAGUGAAGAAGUAUUUCGGUACGUAAAGCUCUAUCAGCAGGAAAGAAAAUGACGGUACCUGACUAAGAAGCCCCGGCUAACUACGUGCCAGCAGCCGCGGUAAUACGUAGGGGGCAAGCGUUAUCCGGAAUCACUGGGUGUAAAGGGAGCGUAGACGGCUGUGCAAGCCUGAAGUGAAAGGCGGGGGCCCAACCCCCGGACUGCUUUGGGAACUGUACGGCUGGAGUGCAGGAGAGGUAAGUGGAAUUCCUAGUGUAGCGGUGAAAUGCGUAGAUAUUAGGAGGAACACCAGUGGCGAAGGCGGCUUACUGGACUGUAACUGACGUUGAGGCUCGAAAGCGUGGGGAGCAAACAGGAUUAGAUACCCCGAUA